GUGAGGAAUAUUGCGCAAUGGGGGAAACCCUGACGCAGCGACGCCGCGUGGAUGAUGAAGGCCUUCGGGUCGUAAAAUCCUGUCAGAUGGAAAGAAGUGUAUAGAUGUUAAUAGCAUUUAUAUUUGACGGUACCAUCAAAGGAAGCACCGGCUAACUCCGUGCCAGCAGCCGCGGUAAUACGGAGGGUGCAAGCGUUGUUCGGAAUUACUGGGCGUAAAGCGCGCGUAGGCGGUUUUAUAAGUCAGAUGUGAAAGUCCACGGCUCAACCGUGGAAGUGCAUUUGAAACUGUAUUACUUGAGUACUGGAGGGGGUGGUGGAAUUCCCGGUGUAGAGGUGAAAUUCGUAGAUAUCGGGAGGAAUACCGGUGGCGAAGGCGACCACCUGGCCAGAUACUGACGCUGAGGUGCGAAAGCGUGGGGAGCAAACAGGAUUAGAAACCCUAGUAGUCC
rnacentral:rRNA from 1 species